GACGAACGCUGGCGGCGCGCCUAACACAUGCAAGUCGAACGAGCGAGAGAGAGCUUGCUUUCUUGAGCGAGUGGCGAACAGGUGAGUAACGCGUGAGGAACCUGCCUCAAAGAGGGGGACAACAGUUGGAAACGACUGCUAAUACCGCAUAAGCCCACGACCCGGCAUCGGGUUGAGGGAAAAGGAGCAAUCCGCUUUGAGAUGGCCUCGCGUCCGAUUAGCUAGUUGGUGAGGUAACGGCCCACCAAGGCGACGAUCGGUAGCCGGACUGAGAGGUUGAACGGCCACAUUGGGACUGAGACACGGCCCAGACUCCUACGGGAGGCAGCAGUGGGGAAUAUUGCACAAUGGGGGAAACCCUGAUGCAGCGACGCCGCGUGGAGGAAGAAGGUCUUCGGAUUGUAAACUCCUGUUGUUGAGGAAGAUAAUGACGGUACUCAACAAGGAAGUGACGGCUAACUACGUG
rnacentral:rRNA from 1 species